UGGUUUAACAAGUUGAGCUGCAGCAGUCAUGAUCUUAGAUCCUGUAGGUCCACUUCCUGUAAAUGAAAUCUUGUCCACAUGAGGAUGAGAUGCCAAAGGACCACCAGCUUCAGGCCCCAAUCCUGUUAAAAUGUUAAGGGCACCAGAAGGAAGACCAAUCUCUCUACAGAUCUCACCCAACUCCAAACAGGUAAUUGAUGCUAGUUCAGAUGGCUUAAGUAUUGCUGCACAACCAGCAGCCAGAGCAGGGGCAACUUUCCAUAUGGCCAUUAACAAUGGAUAAUUCCAUGGAGUUAUCAAUCCCACAACACCAAGAGGUUCUCUAAGAACAUAACUUUUAUAUGAAUCUGAAUUAAGAUUAACCGGAGUCAUCCUUCUCGAAUCCAAAGCUUCAGCAAGGCCUGCAUAGUACUCAAAACAUCCUGCAACGUCAUCCAUAUCUGCAGCAGACUCAUACAAUGUUUUUCCACUAUCAAGGGAUUCAAGUGUUGCAAGUACGGAUUUCUUCUCCAGUACCUUAGCAGCAAUA
rnacentral:misc_RNA from 1 species